UGUUUCCUAAAUGCAGGCGUAACCCACUCAUGGGUCGCAAAAUCUACUUUGUGGGUGGAGACCAACAUUUAAAAACCAUCAGAGAUUCAUUGGCACAAGCAAGUGUAGAUCUUGUUUGACAAUCGCCUCUUCCAGGGGUGGGGGUGGGGGUGGCAGGGCUGUCCUGAGUUGUAAUUUAGAGGGUCCUCACGACCCUGGACCCUGCUCCAGAGCGCAGGGAAACACACGCCCUGGGGGCCGAGGCCCGAGGCCCGGGGAGGCGGCCUCCCCACUCGCGGGGACCUCUCGGGUGGCUCACUGCUCAGGAGGCUGCGGGGACCUUCCCGGACUGCGCUGCCCCACGCCUGGGGGAAGAGGCACCCCUGAUCCCACAUCCUUGUCGCCGAGAGGCCCGUGUCCCAGAGUCAGGGGGAAUGCUGUGACCGCACUUCCUAGUGCUCCGAACCGGCCCGGUGCUGUGGGAUUCCGGCCAAAGGAAAGCUCCAGAACAUUUUAUCAGCGAGGCUAACCUGCUCGAGGUCCUCGACUAGUGGAUUUCUUGAACUCUACGGCGGGCAUGAGAUGCGGUCAAGUCCAAGGCUCCUGGUGACCUGGUUUAUCCUCAGCACUUCCAGCUCAGCGCUGUAAACCGCCGCUAACUCACACCGCAGCUCUUUUGAUUCCUCGUCCUCUCCUCAGCUUUUACCGCUUCUCUGGUUAGAAAGCGGAGCGAAGUGCUGGCCACUACUCAAAUCUGAACGGCGCUGCUUUUUCUGUGAAGGGAGGCUGGCCUCCUAACGUCCAGUCAGACCUGGGUUCUCAUCCUGACGCUCCACUUCCUCAUUGAACUCUGACUACUCCACGCCUGUUUUCAGGUAGGAAGUGGGCCUCCCUGGGAUUUCCCUCACGGGGUUGUGGGAAUUAAGCGAAGACAGAAAUUUCACUCCUCAUCAUGUCCCUGAUGCCUGGGUCAAAGACACGCCAGCCCAUCAGAUUCUCAUCACAUGUUGGCUGAAGUUUUAGCUGCUAAUUAGAUAUAACAUUUGAGAAAUUUGUUCUUAUAAGAGUUGACGACCCCUUAUAAGAGUGACAACCUUAA